GCGGACGUGGCGAAAUCGGUAGACGCAGCGGACUUAAAAUCCGCUUCUUUAUAGAGUCCGGGUUCGAUUCCCGGCGUCCGCACCA
rnacentral:tRNA from 1 species